rnacentral:lncRNA from 1 species
AGGAUUCUAAUACUAGAUAUAUGACCUUUUUUUCUAUUUGGCCCUUUAAACGUAUGAUCAAAUCAUGUAACACGAUACCACAUACCAUGCAAGUUUUGGAUGAAAUUUAACAUGGGAUCUAACCUCACCGAAAGUUUUUUAUCUUAUCUCUCACUAAACUCACUGUCCCUAUGUUUUUCCUUCUAACAGCCAUUCUUGUAUUUUCCUUGUGUACUACAAUCCUCUUGUCUACAUAUCCCUGUUGAAAUUACAUUGUUUUUUUUUCUCUUCAUUUCACUAUCUCUUAAUCCUGUGAUUUAAAGAAGCCCUAAAACACAUUCUUCUAUAGACCAACACCAAGUCAGCAGGGGCCAACAGCCGAUUGGUGGCCAUAGCAAUUUGACGAAUCUCCGGAUGAUGAUGCAGUGGUGUUUUUCCUAUUGCUUUAAUGCGUUAACGAGUUUUUUGCGUGUCCGUUUACUUUGCCCUCCUCUCGUCGUCCUGGUUGCAUCCUACGGAAACACAACCGCGAGAGGGAGCAGAGAAGCCGAGACGAAGCGAAGGAAAGCAGAGCAGCGCAAGACAAAGAGCGAGCUAUAAGUACCACCCACCCUUCCACCUCUCUCCCCGGCAACCUCCCGGCCCCGCCCCGCGCAUUCCUCCUACUCCGGCGAGACAAACAGACGACAAGACAGCAGCAGCAGCAGAGAGAGAGAGAGAGAGAGAGUUUUUGGUUGCCGGUCUGCGGAUUGUGGAUUUGUUUGUUGGUUGGCUCCGGCGGUUUGGGUUGGGGUUUUGCCGGCGAGGAGGAGGAGGAGGAGGAGGAGGAGGAGGAGGAGGAGG